CAGAUAUGGACUGGUCCAUCUCUAAUAAAGACCUGGAGGCACAGAUCUCCAACUAUGCAAGUGUGAGGCACACCAGCAUGCGGUACUACACAGCUGAUAAAAAUGUUACCUGUAGAAACUGUGGUAGACCAGGUCAUUUGUCCAAGAACUGUCCUACUCCAAAGAAAGUGCCCCCUUGUUGCCUGUGUGCAGGAAGAGGUCAUCUACAGAACAGCUGCCCAGCACGAUUUUGCUUGAACUGCUGUUUGCCUGGCCACUAUUUCAGGGAGUGUCUUGAGAAAGCCUAUUGGAACAAACACUGCAACCGCUGUGAUAUGAAGGGGCAUUAUGCUGAUG